CUUUCCCUUGCCAGUGGUGUCAAAUCUGCCUUCCUUUUUAUUAUUCUGACUUAUAAACUGCAGUGACCUCUGAGUCAACUUCGCCAUCUCUUGGCCCUGUGCCAACAUUGUGUUCUGUGAAAAGAGAGUCCUGCCAAGGGCUACGAGGCAGAAAACUGAUAUUAUUAAAGUGGUCUUCUGAACGGACUUUAGCUGAGGUUGGUUGGGGCAGAAGUCGGGCAAGACUCAUCGGAACGGAUUAACAGAGACAGAAUCCAGAGGCAAC
rnacentral:lncRNA from 1 species